AUUGAACGCUGGCGGCAGGCCUAACACAUGCAAGUCGAACGAGUGGCGGACGGGUGAGCAAUGUCUGGGAAACUGCCUGAUGGAGGGGGAUAACUACUGGAAACGGUAGCUAAUACCGCAUACCAUCGGAUGUGCCCUGAUGGGAUUAGCUAGUAGGUGGGGUAAAGGCUCACCUAGGCGACGAUCCCUAGCUGGUCUGAGAGGAUGACCAGCCAGACUGGAACUGAGACACGGGCCAGACUCCGACGGGAGGCAGCAGUGGGGAAGAUUGCACAAUGGGCGCAAGCCUGAUGCAGCCAUGCCGCGUGUAUGAAGAAGGCCUUCGGGUUGUAAAGUUCUUUCAGCGGGGAGGCGUUACCCGCUGAGGAAGCACCGGCUAACUCCGUGCCAGCCGCCGAGGUAAUAC
rnacentral:rRNA from 1 species